UGGGGAAUAUUGGACAAUGGGCGAAAGCCUGAUCCAGCCAUGCCGCGUGUGUGAAGAAGGUCUUCGGAUUGUAAAGCACUUUAAGUUGGGAGGAAGGGCAGUAAGCGAAUACCUUGCUGUUUUGACGUUACCGACAGAAUAAGCACCGGCUAACUCUGUGCCAGCAGCCGCGGUAAUACAGAGGGUGCAAGCGUUAAUCGGAAUUACUGGGCGUAAAGCGCGCGUAGGUGGUUCGUUAAGUUGAAUGUGAAAGCCCCGGGCUCAACCUGGGAAAUGCAUCCAAAACUGGCGAGCUAGAGUAGGGCAGAGGGUGGUGGAAUUUCCUGUGUAGAGGUGAAAUGCGUAGAUAUAGGAAGGAACACCAGUGGCGAAGGCGACCACCUGGGCUCAUACUGACACUGAGGUGCGAAAGCGUGGGGAGCAAACAGG
rnacentral:rRNA from 1 species